rnacentral:rRNA from 1 species
GAUGAACGCUAGCGACAGGCUUAACACAUGCAAGUCGAGGGGCAGCAUGAUUUAACUUCGGUCAAAUUGAUGGCGACCGGCGCACGGGUGCGUAACACGUAUGCAACCUACCUUAUACAGGGGGAUAGCCCAUGGAAGCGUGGAUUAAUACCCCAUAGUACUUUAUAUUCGCAUGAAUGUAGGGUUAAAGUCUUCGGAUGGUUUAAGAUGGGCAUGCGUCCCAUUAGAUAGUUGGUGAGGUAACGGCUCACCAAGUGAAGGAUGGGUAGGGGUUCUGAGAGGAAGGUCCCCCAAACUUGAACUGAGACAAGGUCCAGACUCCUACGGGAGGCAGCAGUGGGGGAUAUUGCACAAUGGGGGAAACCCUGAUGCAGCGACGCCGCGUGGGUGAAGACGGCCUUCGGGUUGUAAAGCCCUGUUGAGGGUGACGAUAAUGACGGUACCCCUUUAGAAAGCCACGGCUAACUACGUGCCAGCCGCCGCUGUAAGAC